rnacentral:lncRNA from 10 species
UUAGUAGAGACUGGGUUUUACCAUAUUGGCCAGGCUGGUCUCCAACUCCUGACCUUGUAAUCUGCACGCCUUGGCCUCCCAAAAUGCUGGGAUUACAGGUGUGAGGUACCGCGCCCGGCUUCCUGAUGGUCUUUUUAAGCGCCCUACGAGUUUCAAAACCAUCUUUCGUUUCUGUUUUCAUGGAGUCAUGGAUGCUCACAGUCUGAAGUGCUGUCACGAUCCACGAUGUUGGACCCUGGCCCACCCGAACCCCUGUCUCCCUUCCCCAUUUUAAUCCUUUAAAAUAACUUCUUUUGCUAUGCAUCUCCAGAUUGAUGAAGAACAUACUUACAUUCCUACUUCCUGACAUUUCAGUUUUAGGCAUCCACUGACUUUCCACUACAGAAGAUGAAAAUGUAGCUCUCGGUCACUGACACACCCCACCCCUGUAACUCCAACACACACAGUCACACACAUCCUGUACUCACUGACACACCCCACCCCCGUAACUCUAACACACACUCACACGCUCCCUGUACUCACUGACACACCCCAACCCUGUAACCCUAACACACACAGUCACACACAUCCUGUACUCACUGACACACUUCACCCUGUAACUCUAACACACACACGCUCCCUGUACUAACUGACACACCCCACCCCUGUAACUCUAACACACACUCACAUGCUCCCUGUACUCACUGACACACCCCACCCCUGUAACUCUAACACACACACUCACACGCUCCCUGUACUCACUGACACACCCCACCCCUGUAACUCUAACACACACUCACAUGCUCCCUGUACCCACUGACACAGCUCACCCCGUAACUCUAACACACACACUCACACCCUGUACUCACUGACACACCCCACCCCGUCACUCUAAAACACACACACUCACACACCCUGUACCCACUGACACACCCCACCCCUGUAACUCUAACACACACUCACAUGCUCCCUGUACCCACUGACACAGCUCACCCCGUAACUCUAACACACACACUCACACCCUGUACUCACUGACACACCCCACCCCGUCACUCUAAAACACACACACUCACACACCCUGUACCCACUGACACACCCCACCCCUGUAACUCUAACACACACUCACAUGCUCCCUGUACCCACUGACACAGCUCACCCUGUAACUCUAACACACACACUCACCCACUGACACAGCUCACCCCUGUAACUCUAACACACACACACGCUCCCUGUACUCACUGACACACCCCACCCCUGUAACUCUAACACACACACUCACAUGCUCCCUGUACUCACUGACACACCCCACCCCUGUAACUCUAACACACACACUCACACGCUCCCUGUACUCACUGACACACCCCACCCCGUAACUCUAACACACAAACUCACACGCUCCCUG